AUGUAUGACGCCGGAAGUUGUGAUGGGGCCGCAACCUCUGGGGAUGCAGCUGAUGACAACAAUCAUGGACAGCCACAGCAAGCUAAUCAACAACAGGCACCUCCUGCUCCAACUUCUCGAAUUUCAGUCAGAAAAGCAGUAGAAGUAAUCCAGACAUUUGACGAAUACAAGUGGUGGCUCAUUGCUGAAAUUGGUUUUGGUGGAAUGCUAAAGCUACCCUUCCUCCAGAAGCUUAAUCUUAAGUUUAGCGCCUGGACUAUGAGCAAGGUCUGCGUUGAGCGUCGAGCGAUUGUUUUGUCAGAAACCAAGAUACUAAAGUUUUUUGUGGAAGACAUCCACAAGGUUUUUGGCAUCCCGUGUGGACACCGGAGUGUUAGAGGGCGUGAUGGUUUCAUCAAGCCAGAAGCUAUAACAUUCAUAAAGAGGACGCUAGGCAUGGACAGGACGGGAGUGCAUAGCCUGCGUGCGGCUGAGGAAUUCCUUCUCCGUGACAGAUCCAAGGAUUCUAGCAAGAUGGAGAAGGAUUGCUUUCAUAUUGCAUUUGUCAUUUUUGUUAUGGGACAUGUGCUGGCACCUAGAACAAAACAUGAUUAUGGCACCAUAGACUACUGGGGUGCAUUGGCAAAUACGGAGAACAUAUCACAAUUCAAUUGGUGUGAGUUUGUACUUGAGUUCUUGCUUGAGGCAGUCCGGCGGCUUAAGAAUGAUAUGAUGGCCAACAAUAUGAACGCCAAUCUGGUUGGUUGCCACUUGUUUUUACAGAUUUUCUUCCUUGACAAUGUCGACCUUGGAAUUUUCAACAAGAACCAUAAUGUUCUUCCUCGCAUUAGUGACUUCGAUCAGACCAGCAUCAAGAACAUGAUAACAAUGGCGACUGACAUUGGAAUGGGCCCUACAUCCUACUCGAAAUGCAUGAUUCGUCAGGGUAUUGAUCUAUGCUAUGCUGGUUGCAACAUUGCUGAUUGCACUGAGAGAACUUCCAACCAGCCAGUUGAAGGCGUCAAUAUGGAGGAAGAUGUUUAA
rnacentral:rRNA from 1 species